UACGUAGGGUGCAAGCGUUGUCCGGAAUUAUUGGGCGUAAAGAGCUCGUAGGCGGUCUGUCGCGUCGGCUGUGAAAACCCGGAGCUCAACUCCGGGCCUGCAGUCGAUACGGGCAGACUGGAGUUCGGCAGGGGAGACUGGAAUUCCUGGUGUAGCGGGUGAAAUGCGCAGAUAUCAGGAGGAACACCGGUGGCGAAGGCGGGUCUCUGGGCCGAUACUGACGCUGAGGCACGAAAGCCGGGGAGCAAACGG
rnacentral:rRNA from 1 species